GAUGAACGCUGGCGGCGUGCUUAACACAUGCAAGUCGAACGAGAAGUGGAGACGGAAACCUUCGGGCGGAAGACUUUAUUUCGAGUGGCGGACGGGUGAGUAACGCGUGGGUAACCUGCCUCAUACAGGGGGAUAACAGUUGGAAACGACUGUUAAUACCGCAUAAGACCACAGCACCGCAUGGUGCGGGUGUAAAAACUCCUGUGGUAUGAGAUGGACCCGCGUUCGAUUAGCCAGUUGGCGGGGUAACGGCCCACCAAAGCGAGGAUCGAUAGCCGAUAUGAGAGGAAGACCGGACACAGUGGGAAUGAGACACGGCACAAAAUACUACGGGAGGCAGGAGUGGGGAAUAUUGCAAAAUGGGGGAAACCAUGAUGAAGCGACGACGCGUGAGUGAAGAAGUAUUGCGGUAUGUAAAGCUCUAUCAGCAGGGAAGAAAAUGACGGUACCUGAGUAAGAAGCCCCGGCUAACUACGUG
rnacentral:rRNA from 1 species